GAUGAACGCUGACAGAAUGCUUAACACAUGCAAGUCUACUUGAACUUCGGUUUGGGUGGCGGGCGGGUGAGUAACGCGUAAAGAACUUGCCUCACAGUUAGGGACAACAUUUGGAAACGAAUGCUAAUACCUGAUAUUAUGAUUUUAGGGCAUCCUAGGAUUAUGAAAGCUAUAUGUGCUGUGAGAGAGCUUUGCGUCCCAUUAGCUAGUUGGAGAGGUAACGGCUCACCAAGGCGAUGAUGGGUAGCCGGCCUGAGAGGGUGAACGGCCACAAGGGGACUGAGACACGGCCCUUACUCCUACGGGAGGCAGCAGUGGGGAAUAUUGGACAAUGGACCAAAAGUCUGAUCCAGCAAUUCUGUGUGCACGAUGACGUUUUUCGGAAUGUAAAGUGCUUUCAGUUGGGAAGAAAAAAAUGACGGUACCAACAGAAGAAGUGACGGCUAAAUACGUG
rnacentral:rRNA from 1 species